rnacentral:rRNA from 1 species
CCUACGGGAGGCAGCAGUGGGGAAUAUUGCACAAUGGGGGAAACCCUGAUGCAGCAACGCCGCGUGAGUGAAGAAGUAUGUCGGUAGGUAAAGCUCUAUCAGCAGGGAAGAAAAUGACAGUACCUGACUAAGAAGCACCGGCUAACUACGUGCCAGCAGCAGCGGUAAUACGUAGGGGGCAAGCGUUAUCCGUAUUUACUGGGUGGAAAGGGAGCGUAGACGGCUGCGCAAGUCAGAAGUGAAAGCCCGGGGCUCAACCGCGGGACUGCUUUUGAAACUGUGUAGAUAGAGGGCAGGAGAGGUAAGUGGAAUUCCUAGUGUAGCGGUGAAAUGCGUAGAUAUUAGGAGGAACACCGGUGGCGAAGGCGGCUUACUGGACUGUAACUGACGUUGAGGCUCGAAAGCGUGGGGAGCAAACAGGAUUAGAUACCCCUGUAGUC